rnacentral:rRNA from 1 species
AAUGAACGCUGGCGGCAUGCCUAACACAUGCAAGUCGAACGAAGGCUUCGGCCUUAGUGGCGCACGGGUGCGUAACGCGUGGGAAUCUGCCCCUUGGUUCGGAAUAACAGUUAGAAAUGACUGCUAAUACCGGAUGACGACGUAAGUCCAAAGAUUUAUCGCCGAGGGAUGAGCCCGCGUAGGAUUAGCUAGUUGGUGUGGUAAGAGCGCACCAAGGCGACGAUCCUUAGCUGGUCUGAGAGGAUGAUCAGCCACACUGGGACUGAGACACGGCCCAGACUCCUACGGGAGGCAGCAGUGGGGAAUAUUGGACAAUGGGCGAAAGCCUGAUCCAGCAAUGCCGCGUGAGUGAUGAAGGCCUUAGGGUUGUAAAGCUCUUUUACCCGGGAUGAUAAUGACAGUACCGGGAGAAUAAGCUCCGGCUAACUCCGUGCCAGCCGCCGCUGUAAUAC